rnacentral:rRNA from 1 species
UACGUAGGGGGCUAGCGUUGUCCGGAAUCACUGGGCGUAAAGCGCACGUAGGCGGCUUGUUAAGUCAGGGGUGAAAUCCUGGAGCUCAACUCCAGAACUGCCUUUGAUACUGGCGAGCUUGAGUCCGGGAGAGGUGAGUGGAACUGCGAGUGUAGAGGUGAAAUUCGUAGAUAUUCGCAAGAACACCAGUGGCGAAGGCGGCUCACUGGCUCGUAACUGACGCUGAGGCACGAAAGCGUGGGGAGCAAACAGG